CUCCGCAUGGCCGCAGCCUAUCGCCGCCGUCGCUCCGGCCCUGCCCCCGGCCCGCCUCCCGCCGCGCCCGGCACCGCGGCCCCGGCCCAGCCUCAUUCAAACGGCAGCAGCGCCCGGCACCCGCCGGCUCCAGAGCUAAGGAAGAAUAGUUUUGCUUUUGGUAAAGUGUGCUAGUUGAAAACAUGUUGGCCACCAAGCUGUCCCGCCCUCUCUUGAACUUCUCUGUGAAAGCCCUGAAUAUCAAGGACCCAGGGAAUGGCUUCAGGCCCGUGCAGAGAUUUUCCUUCCCUCUCUUAUCCCCAUGUGGCAGCCGCUCUUAUGCAAAUGAAGUUGAUCAGAUUGGCAGCAGAGCUGUGCUUAUAACAGGCUGUGACUCAGGAUUUGGAUUUGCCUUGGCCAAGCACCUGCAUGACAAAGGUUUCAUUAUUUAUGCUGGCUGCCUGCAAAAGGACAAGGGAGAGGGUGGCUCCAAGGAGCUGGAUGCCAUGAAGAGUGACCGAAUGAGAACUGUCCAGCUCAAUGUCUGUGACAGCAAAGAAAUGGACCGGGCAGUGGAGCAUGUGCAGAGCAGCCUCGAGGACCCAGAGAAAGGGCUCUGGGGGCUGGUUAACAAUGCUGGGAUCUCCACUUUUGGGGAAGUUGAAUUCACCAGCAUGGACACCUACAUGGAGGUAGCUGAAGUGAACCUGUGGGGGACUGUGCGAACCACCAAGGCUUUCCUCCCGCUCAUCCGGAGGUCUAAGGGUCGCGUGGUGAACAUCAGCAGCAUGAUGGGGCGGAUGGGCAGCCCCGCCCGCUCACCCUACUGCAUCACCAAGUUCGGCGUGGAAGCCUUCUCCGACUGCCUGCGCUACGAGAUGCAGCCCCAGGGCGUCAUGGUCAGCAUCGUGGAGCCCGGCAACUUCAUCGCGGGCACCAACCUGUACAGCCCCGAGCGCAUCAAAGCCAUCGCCGACAAGAUGUGGGACGAGCUCCCCGAGAUCGUGCGCAAGGACUACGGCAGGAAGUACUUCGACGAGCAGGUCAGCAAGAUGGAGUCGUACUGCAACAGCGGCUCCAGGGACACGUCGCCGGUCAUCGAGAGCGUGGCGCACGCGCUCACCUCCACGACCCCCUACACCCGCUACCACCCCAUGGAUUACUACUGGUGGCUGCGCAUGCAGAUCAUGACCCACAUGCCCGCUGCCAUCGCAGACCGGCUCUACGUCUACUGAGGCCUCACGCUCAUAAGCUAUCCAGGAAAAACAUCCAGGCAUGCUAACUCCAUCCCAGAAAUGGAAAAAAUGCACCAGAAGUCCCAGCCCAGCUGAUAGCCAGAUCUCUGAGGAGGCAGCACACAUGAUACAGCCUGGCAUCUCCAGGGGAUGCCCACCAGGCUGAGCUCCUGCUCCUGGAAAGCACCACUCUGGCACUGUCUCCCUCCCAGCCAUGCAGAUGGGACUGCCAGGCUUGCUGAGAUCUUUGAAAAGUGCUUUUUGACAGGAGUCACUGUGAUUUGACACAGCAGAGAGAAAGGGAAUCCACCAGGAAUUACCCAGUGCCCCGUGGAUGUCUGUUAGACUGCACCUUCCAGAAGAUCUUGGAGCAUUAGCAGCCAGGCACUGAAUUUUAAUGGUUUAUAAAAAUUGUAAUUGCACUCUUCUAUACAUUAGGUACAUAUAUUUAAAUAAAACAUUCUAAAAAAUGAAAUAGAAGUCUCGUAUUUCUUAUAAUGCUCUAGUUCUUGAGGUUACUGGAAUUGUAAAACUCAGUCUUUUGUAGGAUUGUGAACUGUCCCAAACCCAAUAGAUAAAUGUUAUUAUGAGAGCAAAAGAAAGAAGAGUUUGCUGUAUACAAUUGUGGAAUACAAUCCCUAAUUGAACAAGAGCUCAAACAACAUCAGCACACACAAACUGUACAAUGAUGGGGAAAAAAUAAUCUUUUAGACAAAAAGAAGUCCAGUUUUCUCUUGCUCUCCCUGUAAACAGGAACACGUUCAUCUACUAGCCAUGCCCAGCUGGACUCUCUAAUGCUAAGAAUAAAGACAUGCUUGUGUUCUGAUGGAGAUUGAAUUAACCUAAGACAAGUUUCAGUUAUGAGGAUAAACUGGAUAUACUGCUCACAAAUGAAAAUUAUGAAGAUUGUAUUACUGGGGAAACUGACUUCUCUGUAUUAAAAAAAAAAGAUUAAAAUUAAAUAAGCAGAGAUGUGUAAGAGGAUCCCAUUAGAAUUCCAUUGAGUAGGCUUAAUUAAAUUUGCUGAACAGUGAUUUUUAAAAAUAAAACUUUGAUUUUAAGAACUGAAGAACAGAUCCUCCCCCAUGUAAUAGGCAGCAACUUAUUUUACCUUAUUUUAAUUUAUGAGAGUGAAGCUGAUAGACAAAAGUGAGCUGGUAUUUCAACUGUUAGCAGUACCUGUGACAGGCACGUGGCUCAUCAGGCUGUGUGACAGAGUGACUGCAGCCUGUAUUGCAAAGAGUAGCUUCAGUCUUUAGCAGCCUCAUGAAAAUUUUCCAUAUAUUAUAGCUUUUGUAGGGAAAUAAGGACACAUUACCAUUCCACGCUUUCAUUCAAGUAGAAUGCUUCUACAAGAAGUUGUUUGUAUCUCUUAUAACCCCCGAAAUUACAGAUGAUAAGGAAAAGGCGCUUUUCUGAAAAGACAGCUCCUGGAAGGUAAGGCUGUGGCACACGACCCAAACUUAUCAGACAUCAGAGAAUCCAGAUGAGUGGAGGCAUAAUGAGCAAGCUAACUUCACUCAGGCUUCAUUCCUUGUUAAGCAGGGGAAAUGAGGCUUCAUUGCUUCCCCAGUUAGCUGUGAAGCAUUGCACUGAGUUUGCAGGGAAGUGAAAGCUUUUCUGCAGCUGUCAGAGAUCCUUUCAUGAGCAUCAGCUCCCAGUUCUGAAUGAGUAAGGGAAAUCAUCUACUUUGUAUAGUGGCUGCUAGUAGUUUAUGGUGACUUUGGACACUAAACCUGACAAUUAAGAGAGCACCAAUUUUAUUGUUCUUGUGUUUUCUUUCUUUAGUAAGACCAACACUAAAAAGUCUUGAGUUUUCUUAUUAUUCUUCAACAGUCAGCAUUACUUUUUGCUAAAAUUAAUACUAUAAUUAUAGUAUUCUAGAAAUAUUCCACCUUAUACACCAGUGUCCAUCUUUAAUUAUGAACAGAUGUACCUGUAUUUAUUUAAUUCCACCUUCUGUUUUAAUGGAAUUUGUCUCAUCUUGUAACCACUGUAUUUUUUUGGCCAUACUAAUAACUGCAAAUUCUUGCCAUGUGAUGGUGUCUGCAGUCCUUUUUUUCUUGGUGUUCUUGUGUUGAUUGACAUUGUGUGUGAAUCUAGGGAAUGUUUUUUGAAGUCUCCUGUUCUGAGUUCAUUAUACCUCUGCAGUUACUCUGUGGGACAUCAUCUGCCACACAUCCACUGCCACUGCCAGUUUGAGAAGUCCACAUUGUCAGCUGGCUCCAGUGGGACUUUGGGGUUCACCAGGUAGCUGGCCUGAAGUCAAACCCCUCCACGUCCUGCUGCUCUGCCUGUGGCCAAAGUGUGACUGCCUCAAAACAUAAGAAGCUUGACAGCACUCUUCUUCCCUGUGGUGUGCCAGCUGGCCAGGUGAUGUUUCUAAAGCAGAAAGAGCCGUUUUCCAAGUGGCAGCUGGACUGCUUUGAGGAGGAGGAGCUGGUGUAGGAGCAGGUACAAAUUUGUGGCAGGGCUCGCUACUAUGAUCACUUGCCAGAGCAGGCAGCUGCCAACAAGUUCUGGCACAGUUUCCCAAAGUGGGAAAACAUUGUUUCUGUUUCACUACAGUUCAUGAAACUGGGGUUCUCGGGCUCUGACACAAGGCUGCUUUUUCCCCAUGUACAAAUGGCAUGGGCUAGGACCAGGGGGCUGUACAGAAGGUUUUCCCGGGAAAAAGCUUGUGCUGUGCUGGUCUCCCUGCUGCCUGGUCCUGUAUCACACAUCCCCCUGAGCACUACGUGUGCUGUAACAAGCUGCCUGCCCCUGCCAGAGACCAUCCCAGGCAGAACAUCCCAGAUACGCUCCUGGCAGCAGCUGCAAAAGGGAUUUUAAAGGGAAAUCUGAGGGCAGUGAGAAAAGGCCAUUGGUCACAUCCUCAGAUGCAUCUGAGGACUAAAGUGGCAAUGGGCUUCUGCCUUGUGUAACUGUCCUGGAGUUCCUAUGCCAAGGGUCAUUUUGGAGCACAGCCAGGGUGUGUUAAGCACAGCAUAAUGCUGACUUCUCUACUGACCACAUCAGUCACAAUUUAAGUACGAGCUUUUCUGUGUGCUGCCUGUAGUGGUUUGAUUUAAAUGACAUUGUUCAAGUUGUGGCACAACUGAUGCUCUGCUUCACACUCAGUUUUCCCUUCCUCCAAGGGAACUACACAAUUUCCUGAAAGCUGGAGCCUGAAAAAGAUGAUGUGCAACACAGGACAAUUUUGCAGCUAGUGGCUCUAGCUGCAAUGUUGCUAGUAAAAAAGUCAUUUGCCAUUCAUGGGAUAUUUUCUAUAUGUGCUGGAAUUUCAAGCCCACUUUUCAUACUGAAGUUUAAUUCUGUGCUUUCUGGUUCGACUGCUUUCAAUCAGCAAAUACACUCCUAGAACAGAAACAGAAGUGCCGGGAACCAACCUCGUUCUCUGAGGUACAAUAAAGCUCACCUAAUUGCUUCCUGACUUGCUGAUCCAUCAUCCUGACCCCCUCUUUGAUGUUGUCUUCUUUUUUUUUUUUUUUUUCCUAGAGCAUUAGUAACAAGUGAGAAAUGCUGUCUCAGGGUGUUAUAUAUGGGAUUAUUUCUCUAUCCCCAGCACAGUGACCGUAUGUAAUGGGAUUAUCUCUUAUUUAAAAUAAAAAAGACUUGGACACAUCA